UUAGAAACGCCUUGAAAUCACACAUGCACCGUCACAUGGUCCCGGGUGCUGUCGGCUGACCUCCGGCAGUCGGAUCCAUGGGGUGUGUGGAGGCCUAAC
rnacentral:sRNA from 1 species